CCACUUCCUUCUGGGCUCCAUGGUUUCUGAUGAGAAAUCUGCUGUUGUUCAAAUUGUUUUUCUUUUAAAGGCUUUCGCUGACACUGUAUGGGCUAAGACAAGGCAGAACUCUGUCCCACUGGAUGGUGGUGAAAAUUGUGGCUACCACCCACCUUCCUCUGACACUAGGGAUCUCUCUUUUCCUGGGAGGAGAGGGCAUCAACUACUGGCAAUGAGCCCUGCCCCACGGUCAGCCACACGGUCCUGCCCACUGCCCAGGAGGCACGCAGACCAGGCACCUCGCCCAUCAGAUGACGGGGGCAUGCUGGGCGAGAGCAACUCCAAGGCUGGAGCAGACGGAGACAUUUACUAACACAGAUAAGUUUUUAUUGAAUUAAGAGGGAGCACUUACAAGGAAGCCUCUAGAGAGUAAAAGCAUUAAGUCAUUUUGAAACAUUUUUCUCCUGUCAAGAGAGCAAAUGAAACACCAGCGUGGCCAUCUGAUUCUGCUUCACUCACGUGUGCAGAAUGGCGGCCCCGCAAGUGAGGGAAGGCGCUCACAGGCAGUUCCCACAACAAGACUCUACUGAUAGGAGUCAGAAGUGACCUGUCUACAGGACAUUUCCAUGACCAGAAGAUCCAGAGAAUACACUACCCUGAUAGCAAAUGAAGGCGACAUGUAAGGUACCAUGAUCUUUUUUAUUAUUAAAAAUACGGUUUUUUAAGAA